AGUCAGGUCACACCCUGUGCUGGAGUCAGCCUCACACUGAUCACACACAGACAUGAGUGUGCCAACUCAGCUCCUGGGGUUGCUGCUGCUGUGGCUUACAGAUGCCAGAUGUGAUAUCCAGUUGACUCAGUCUCCAGCAUCCCUGUCUACAUCUGUGGGAGAAACUGUCACCAUCACAUGUCAAGCAAGUGAGAAUGUUAACAGUUAUUUACAUUGGUAUCAGCAGAAACAGGGAAAAUCUCCUCAGCUCCUGGUCUAUGCUGCAACAAACUUAGCAGACGGUGUGUCAUCAAGGUUCAGUGGCAGUGGAUCAGGCACACAGUAUUCUCUCAAGAUCAACAGCCUGCAGCCUGAAGAUAUUGCAGAUUAUUUCUGUCAGCAUUCUUAUGGUACUCCCACAGUGAUUCAAGCCAUGACAUUAAACCACCCAGAGAAGCAGAAGUGA